UCAUCAUCACCAUCAUCAGGUGAGCAGCCUGGUCUCUCGGGUCUGGACUAGAAGCUGAGGUUCUUAUUCCCCUGUAUGCACUCCCCUGUGUUUCCCCAAGCCUGGACUGCCCCCCCACUAUCAUCACCCCCCCACUGCCACAGACAUACACCCCCCACUGCCCACGACCACUGCCACCGGCACCCCACAAACCAGUCCCUGAGACGGCACACCUGCCACCCCAUCACACACUCCCAUCCACACCACUUGGGUCGCACAAGGGACACCACCACUGCACACGCCCCCAGCACCCUCAGGAGGUGUUUUCUCUAAGACCAUGCGCACAGCGCCCAGGGCUCGGAGCCCCCCUCUUCCAUGAUAACAAUGUUUAAGCAGCACACAGCUGCCGGGAACGGAGGCCCCAUCUCCAGCAGCUGUGGUCACGUGGCUAAGUUCUGGCCAAUGCAGAGGAACAUCCGGGGCCUGUCUUGCCCUUCCUGGGAGCCACCCUGAGCCACGCAGACCGGCCGCUACACGCACGGGGAGCCCCAAGAUUGAAAAAGCCUGGCGGCGGAAAGCUCCGAUGGCUACAUUACAGCAGAGCCACCAAAGCAGGCUGCACGGGAGAGGACAGGGAAGUAAAGCCGUUAUCGUUUUCUCUGUCACACGCCGCUGAACCUGGAGGUGCAGCCGGCAUUCUGGAAUCGUCCCUCUGAGCAAGUUCUCUGCUGGCAAGUGGCCAGGAGCCUAGGGCCAAGCGGCUGCAGUCCAGGGACAGUGUCUGCUCCUGGGUUAAAUCUUCUUCAGGUGCCACACGGGCGGUCAGAGCCCCCUGCUCACAACUGUGCCAAAUGAGGGAUCUAAGAGACAACGCUGACUCACCAGCCAGGAACUGCCGGCCAUUUCACAGACACUCCUCUUCCCAUGAUACAUGAAAAUCAAGUCGACAAGAAUCAAAAAAUUCCCCCUUUGACAAAUUCAUUCAACAAUUAUCGAGUACCAACUACGUGCUGGGUUCCAUGCCGGGUGCUGGGAAUACGGAAGUUGACGGUGUAUCCGGUGGACAGCAUACCCAGUCCUGCACCAGUGGGUGGAAGCCGAGCCUCUCCACGGUCUGCCUUUCUCUUUAGAAGUUUCUGGGUGAGAGACCACCCGGCCUCGCGCACCACAAGGGGGAGUGCCCCGGGUACCCGCCCUGACGGCAUGGAGACAGCUAUGUUUAGCAUUUCCUGAUGGAACCAAAAUCUGUAGUCAAGAAAAGCUGGUCCUGGCCAAAACAUUGACUUUUGGAUGAGAACGAUGUCUUCAAUAAUAAUCCUGCCAAAACCACUGCCUCAUGCAUUAGCCCUCUCCCUAGAGGGUGACGGGAACCAGUAAGUGACAGAAAACUCAACUUGUACAGCCUGGGGAAAAAAAAUCGACUCUGAUUUUGUUUUUGUUUUUGUUUUCUGUAAGCACAAAAAUAAAUGCAUAUUUUACUACCAAA